GUCGAACGGAGCUGAGAGGAGCUUGCUUUUCUUAGCUUAGUGGCGAACGGGUGAGUAACGCGUGAGUAACCUGCCCUGGAGUGGGGGACAACAGUUGGAAACGACUGCUAAUACCGCAUAAGCCCACGGAUCCGCAUGGAUCUGCGGGAAAAGGAUUUAUUCGCUUCAGGAUGGACUCGCGUCCAAUUAGCUAGUUGGUGAGGUAACGGCCCACCAAGGCGACGAUUGGUAGCCGGACUGAGAGGUUGAACGGCCACAUUGGGACUGAGACACGGCCCAGACUCCUACGGGAGGCAGCAGUGGGGGAUAUUGCACAAUGGGGGAAACCCUGAUGCAGCGACGCCGCGUGGAGGAAGAAGGUUUUCGGAUUGUAAACUCCUGUCGUUAGGGACGAUAAUGACGGUACCUAACAAGAAAGCACCGGCUAACUACGUGCCAGCAGCCGCGGUAAAACGUAGGGUGCAAGCGUUGUCCGGAAUUACUGGGUGUAAAGGGAGCGCAGGCGGACCGGCAAGUUGGAAGUGAAAACUAUGGGCUCAACCCAUAAAUUGCUUUCAAAACUGCUGGCCUUGAGUAGUGCAGAGGUAGGUGGAAUUCCCGGUGUAGCGGUGGAAUGCGUAGAUAUCGGGAGGAACACCAGUGGCGAAGGCGACCUACUGGGCACCAACUGACGCUGAGGCUCGAAAGCAUGGGUA
rnacentral:rRNA from 1 species